UAGGGAAUCUUCCACAAUGGACGAAAGUCUGAUGGAGCAACGCCGCGUGAGCGAAGAAGGGUUUCGGCUCGUAAAACUCUGUUGUUAAAGAAGAACAUAUCUGAGAGUAACUGUUCAGGUAUUGACGGUAUUUAACCAGAAAGCCACGGCUAACUCCGUGCCAA
rnacentral:rRNA from 1 species